rnacentral:sRNA from 1 species
CCAGGAUUUGGCGCAAUGGGAAUAUCUGGUCCAGGGUGGAUUUACCAGGUCUAAAGUCCGAUUAUCUCAUUGCCUUUAGGUUUAAUCUUUCACACAGAACGCUCGAGAGUAUCUUGUAUGCGAUGGGGAGGAGUCUUAUUACUCUGAUAAUUGUGUCAUGCGUGCACCUAUGGUGUCGUUAGUGUCAUGAACAGCUUAAAAUGUAAACAAUGAUGCGGCAAUCUUACACUAACAGAAAAAAGUCAUUAUCAUACACAGACGUUAUUGGAAAUAUAUAAACAUCUUGGACGAGGAAAACUGAAAAAACGUGUACAAUACAUGAUAGAAGUGUUAUUUCAAUGGCUCCAAGGAUCGAUCAUCAGUCAGAAGAUGUUUUGAGGCUGCAUAAUUCGGCUUAUGCAGCCCUUUAGUCCCCGCCUUUAGACUGUAUCCCGAUUAAAAUUUUACAAAGUGGGUAUAAAGCAGCGAUUCCCGAAAUGAAGGAGUGACUGUAUGUGUGAGAUACUCCCUUUAAGUAUUUUCCGUUCUCUCAAUGUGUAAAAAUUUUUUUUUUGAACUGAAUGAUUGAUGUUUCGCGGAAAUGAACACAAAAUAAGAACAUUUUUAUACUUUGUCAUUCAUACCUUCCAAGCGUUAAA